GUUGGAGAGUGCAUUCCACUUUGAACAGAAAGGCAGUCUAGGAAGAGUUGGCUGCUCACUGUUACAAUGAGUGUGAAGAGGACAACACGUCACGCAUGAUUUGGUACAGAGUGUGGAGAAGGGUGGUGUCCCUGUGAAAGCCGAGGCCUGGUGCUGUUAUUACAUGGUCCUGCCCAAGCUCCUCUAACCCCUUCCAGUGUACAAACUCCCAAUAUCUGCCAUGGUACCAGUAGACAAGAACAUCAGGGGCUGAUCUCCAACGAUGGUAAGGGGCUCUCCCCAGCUUCAGUAGAAUUAACUUUUACAGCCGAGGAGGAGUAGAGCUGAUCAAUCCAGCCUGCACCCCUUCAGUAGCUGCAGCUCAUCAACCCAGCCUGGUCCCUUCAGUAGCUGCAGCUGAUGAACCCAGCCUGGUCCCUUCAGUAGCUGCAGCUGAUGAACCCAGCCUGGUCCCUUCAGUAGCUGCAGCUCAUCAACCCAGCCUGGUCCCUUCAGUAGCUGCAGCUCAUCAACCCAGCCUGGUCCCUUCAGUAGCUGCAGCUGAUCAACCCAGCCUGGUCCCUUCAGUAGCUGCAGCUAGCAGCCCUCACCUGAGGACAGGGCCAGGGGCUGUGCCCUCCACAAAGUAAACCAGCAGUGACUAGACCAGACAGAAAUCCUCAUCAAGUGCCUAAUGAAUGAAGACACCAUUAUCUGGAUUGAUGCUCCUCUUACUUUUUUGAAUGGAUUCAGACGGGAAGAGCAGUCAUCUGGCAGUCGGAGGGUUGCCGGUUCACCGUUCCGCCCUGGUUUGUCCACACCUGCCCCCUGUUCAUAAGUGUGGAUUCAGAGGAGCAUGAAAAGGCUGGUUUGGCUGUUCUGGGCCUCGCCUCAUCCUCCACAAAGCAAACCAGCAGCGACUAGACCAGACAGGUUUGUCAUUCUGUUGUGCUCAUCUGAAUGCAUGUUUGAAAGUGGUAUUUUUUUUAUGGUGGCAGCAGUUCUACUGUAGGGGAAAAUUCACAGAACGAAAGAUCUCCCUCCUAAAAGCAUGAUAACCAAUCACGAGUCAAAAUCAGACUCCACCUUAGUGAGCAGGCUGGUUCCUCCAAAACUCUCGACGAUGUGUGCUAAAAGUUUAUCAAUAUAUCUGUAUU